rnacentral:rRNA from 1 species
ACGCGAAGAACCUUACCUACCCUUGACAUGUACGGAAGCCUGCUGAGAGGUGGGCGUGCCCGAAAGGGAGCCGUAACACAGGUGCUGCAUGGCUGUCGUCAGCUCGUGUCGUGAGAUGUUGGGUUAAGUCCCGCAACGAGCGCAACCCUUGUCACUAGUUGCUACGCAAGGGCACUCUAGUGAGACUGCCGGUGACAAACCGGAGGAAGGUGGGGAUGACGUCAAGUCCUCAUGGCCCUUAUGGGUAGGGCUUCACACGUCAUACAAUGGCGCAUACAGAGGGCUGCCAACCCGCGAGGGGGAGCCAAUCCCAGAAGGUGCGUCGUAGUCCGGAUUGCAGUCUGCAACUCGACUGCAUGAAGUCGGAAUCGCUAGUAAUCGCGGAUCAGCAAUGUCGCGGUGAAUACGUUCCCGGGUCUUGUACACACCG